GGUGGCUCAGUGGUAGAGUGCUUGCCUUGCAUGCAUGAGGGCCUAGGUUCAAUUCCUCAGCACCA
rnacentral:tRNA from 1 species